rnacentral:snRNA from 1 species
GGAUGUGAGGGUGAUCUGGCUGUGACAUCUGUCACCCUAUUGAUCUCCAGAGUCGAUUCAGCUGACCUGGCUGGCUAGGUGGAUGUCCCCUUCCUCCCUCACCGCUCCAUGUGCAUCCCUCCCGAAGCUGUGAGCUUGGUCAAGAGGACAACCUUUCCCAGUAGAGGAGGACCGUUCUUCUCAGUCAAGGGUAUAUGAGGAGCUGCGCUCCCCUGCUAGAACCUCCAAACAAGCUCUCAAGAACAAUAUUUUCCAUUUCAAAGUCACACAAUAAUAUCAAGUUAGUUCCAAACACACAUCAUGCUAUUAGAUAAGCUAAACAUCUAAAGGA